CCCUUUUCAGAUAGAGGCUUAGAUGUGCUCAACAUGGAGCAGGUUAGAACAGCAGCGAAUAUAAACAGUUGGGAAAACGUGAGACUGGUUUCACAAAG
rnacentral:SRP_RNA from 1 species